rnacentral:rRNA from 1 species
AUUGAACGCUGGCGGCAGGCUUAACACAUGCAAGUCGAGCGGGGAAAGGUAGCUUGCUACCUGACCUAGCGGCGGACGGGUGAGUAAUGCUUAGGAAUCUGCCUAUUAGUGGGGGACAACAUCUCGAAAGGGAUGCUAAUACCGCAUACGUCCUACGGGAGAAAGCAGGGGACCUUCGGGCCUUGCGCUAAUAGAUGAGCCUAAGUCGGAUUAGCUAGUUGGUGGGGUAAAGGCCUACCAAGGCGACGAUCUGUAGCGGGUCUGAGAGGAUGAUCCGCCACACUGGGACUGAGACACGGCCCAGACUCCUACGGGAGGCAGCAGUGGGGAAUAUUGGACAAUGGGGGGAACCCUGAUCCAGCCAUGCCGCGUGUGUGAAGAAGGCCUUUUGGUUGUAAAGCACUUUAAGCGAGGAGGAGGCUACCGAGAUUAAUACUCUUGGAUAGUGGACGUUACUCGCAGAAUAAGCGCCGGCUAACUCUGUG